AAUCCCUACCCGGCCACCAGGAAGGCGGCUGCCAUGGUGCAAGGUGGGAGCAGUGUUGGCUGUGGCCCGGCAGGGGCGGUUGCUAGGUCCACUCUGUGUACACAACAAGGCCAGCUCGCGUUCCCUCACAAACAGCUCCUGGCAGGCUCGGGAGCUGGCCGCCUGGCUGCUUGCUCUCCCACGCCAGCCCCAGCUUCCUGGGGGGCCUCGGACACCGGAGGGGGAAGCGAAGCUCGGGAACUGGCUGAGCGCCCAGCAGAGCACCUCGCCCAGGAGACCUGGCAGCAGCAAGAGCCCGAGGCCAACCUGCUGAUCCUCUCAUGGGAUCGGACGCUGACAGGAUGCUCCCAGCCCCCAGGUCCCACCUCUGUCCAAGCCUCUUUCCUGUGAUGCCCCAACCCAACAGGUCUGGACUGAAUAUCAUGGAGGACGGUUGUCACUGAGUGCUACAUGCCUACUCCAGAGGCUGAGCACAGGAUCCCAAGUUCCAGGCAAGCGUGGGCAACUUAGCAAGACCCUGUCUCAAAAUAAACAGAAAGGGCUGGGGGUGGGGCUCAGGAGCAAAGCGCCUGCCUAGCCUGCAAGCCCAGAGUUCCAUGCCUAGUACCACGAAAAAAAGAGUUACUGUGUCCCCAGGGCCUCAGGCCACCCUAGAUGUCCAGUCCACACUGUGGUUUAGGGCGGAGGCCCUGGGCCACCCAGUAUCAGCUCAGCUUCUGGAGGAGUAGACACUGAUGUCAGCCACCCUAGUCAUUAUCCACAUGGACAGGACAAACCCCCAAUAAAAACCUCAGCCCCCAAGGCCAGGGAACAUCCCGGUUGGCAGUACACCAUGCCUGUUGUCACACACAGCUGGGAGGAUCCAACACUGUCCACAAGACUCCACUGGAGGGGAAACUGGAAGUCACUGCUUAGUCUCCGAUUCCCUUUCUGACCUGAACCCACGUCCCUCUGCUGUGAUAAUCCACCCUGUGACAGUUCCGGAUGAGCGCAGUCCUCCUGGCGCUGCCCAACUUGAGAGCAGAUGUAGGGACUCCCUGAAUCUGUAGGAACUGACAGGCCCCCAGGCCUGGCUGGAAACCCCUGGGAGCAGGACCCUUCUCUAGGGUCCUGCCACCCAGGCUCUACCCAGUGGACUUCACGCCUCAGCUCAGCGAGCUGCUGGGCACUGAGGCACUGGAGUUAGUUCAACCUCCUUCUGCGGUCAAGCCACAUCCCUUAUUAUGUCCCUCUCCCCCAUGUCAUCAUCCUGUCCCCCACCAUGCUGUGCUCCUGAAGCCAGAGACCUCCAGAACUGCAGCAACACUGCUGGUGGACACACGCACACGGGGUACACGGGUGAAUGGACGGAAACAUGCAGGGAUGGACAGACACCACUGCUCUUGCCCUCUGAGCUCAUGGUCACUGGCUGGGGACAGGCCCACCUGCAAUCCAUACAAGACCAAGGUAGGAAGCUGGAAGGCUCCAUCAGUGGCUCGGCCACUCCCUCCUACCCAACUCCAGUGACAGUCAGUCUUAACCUUGAUGUAACCCAAGGUCAGAGCAGACGCCUGGCCCUGGAGGGACCUCCCAGGAGGGCACAGAAGAUCCCAGACAACGUCCCUCCACCCCAGACUCAUGAGAGCCGACAAAGGGCCACAGAUGAGGAGCUGAGGCCUGGGGAGGACAUCAAGCCCAGGCCACAGCUCCCAGGGUGCCCCUCACUGUGGCCUAAGGGUCAGACAGACCAGGGUCAGAGUCCAGACUCCCCCGUCAUGGGAAUGGGCCCCUGUUGCCCUGGCCCCCCACCUUGUCCUCUGCCCAGCCCGGCUCCCGCAGGGCCUCUCCUGUGCCAGCCCACCUCCACCCGCAUCCUGGUGGGGCCUCCCUGCCCCACCCAAGGAGCAGCCCCGUCGCCGCCACAGCAGGCCCUGGCUCUGUGACUGUCCUGACGCUGUUUUUAUCGGGAAAGUUGUAGAUUUACAGAAAAUGGCAGAGAUGCUCUUGAGAGCUGCGAGCACCCCUCGCCCAGCGUCCCCCAGAGCUCGCCUGUCACUCCUGAAGCGUGGGAGUCAAUGACAGCCACGACCUCGGUACAGCACCGCCGGCUGGGCUACCUGUGCCCUCGUCACGGCUCCACAAUCUCCUGGCUUGUGUCACCUCAGUGACCACGUCUGAACUGCCCCGCCUCAUGAAUGUCCGUCCUUUAACCUCCCGAGCCCACCAGACGGCCAGCACUUGGGACUUGCUCGGCUGGCACCAGAGCUGCACGGCUGCGGCAGACCCGCGGGAAGUGCUGCAGGUCCCUCACUGGCUGCCUGCUAGCCGCAGCCCUGGACUUUUCCAGAACACCAUCCCCAGGCCAUGAACCUCAAACCCUUGAUUGUGACCAACCACUCAGCAGCGCCUGGCCUUUGGGGUCAGAGGGGAUGACGGUUGAGGACAGAUGUCCCCGCCACUGCCCUGGCUCUGAAGGGACCUCCCAGGCCCCAGAGGUGACUCAGGUUGGCCCCAGCGUCAGUGGGGCUGUGAGGGCCGGGAAGGAGCACACACUCUGGUCAUCUCGCGCCACCCCAUCCCUGGGCCUCUGGGGUGGGUCCACUGGGUGUUCCUCAGGCUCUCCCCGGGGAUGCGGAGCCCUGCCCAGGUCUCCAUGCAGCUAAGCAGCGUGACAGCCAAGUCAGUGUCCUGGGGCUGCCAAAGGACCACAGGUUGGGUGGCCCAAACCUCAGGGGUGUGUUCUCUCGCGGUCCAGGAGGCUGCAGGCCCAGUCACGGCAUCCACAGGGCUGCUUCCACCUGAGGGGGAGGCCCUUCCUGGCCUGUGGCCGCGACCCUCCAAUCCCCCAUGACACGGGCUUCUCUGGACCUGCCCUCUGCUACCUUCUGUCAUAGUCAUGGCGUCGGCCCUCCAUAUCCACAGGUCCCACACCCGUGAACCCAACCAACUGCAGAUCAGAAUUACUUGGGGGAAAAAUUCACUAACACUGAACACGCGCAGAUCCAGCACGGCCAAGCAGCUGCUGAGCACCAAUCACAGUGAAGGAGACGGUCCACAACAGCGGGUGGCGGGGGUCCACGGGAGGACAUGCGCAAGACCUACAGGUACUAGAUACUACAGAACGUCCUUGAGAUGGAUUUCCAGCCAUUUCCUGGUACUGAGCCAAUUCCCCUGGACACUGAGGGAGGAUGGUUCCUGUCACUGGAUUUAGGGGCCACCCCAAUCUAGAAGGAGCUUAUCUGGAGACCUUUAGUUACAUCUGCAGAGACCACAUUUCCAACUGAGGUCACAGCCCCAGGUUCUAGGAGUGAGGAUGCUGGCAUAUCUUUUGGGGUGACACCAUCAAACCCACAGGCCCUCUGAGGGUGGCAAGCCCCAGGGCUGCCCAGCUAGGAAGUGGCCAAGACGACAUGGACUCCACACCUGAGCGGAACCCUGCAUGGCCUUCACGGCUGGGGCCAGAGCCUUCCUGGGACCAGGGAUCAGUGGGAGACAACAGAGGACCGCGUCCAGCGGUGGACCCGGUGCUUCUGGUCAGAGCAGCGGUUCAGUUCUCAAGGACACCAGCUCCCUCGAGGUCAAGAGCAGCCUCCGGCCCUGCCCUCAGCCCCAGCCCCAGCCCAAGCCCCUCAUUUCUAGGCAGGGACCCCCCACACCUCCUGUGUAGCCUCUGCUUAUGUCCCACGACCUUCUGCACAAAAUUCUCAAUCCCCAUCCCGUGAAGCCUGAGGAGGCCCCCUGUGCUGGCGGGCCCUGCUGCACCCAGUAUCCGUGCUCCUGCAGGCCCAUCCCCAGCACCCACAGGUUGGGAGAAGCAGGGUCCCAAGGCUAGAGAGCAGUGGCCAGGUGGCCCUGGUCAGAAGGCCUGUAGCGAUUCAGCUAUGGUGACUUCUCCAGAGGGGACAAAAUCCUGGGGCAGCCCCCAGUCUCCUGAGGAGUCCUGUGCGGCACCAGGUGACAAUUCCCCUGCCACCAUCCCCACCUUACUGCAGAUGGCGUGGCCUUGGUUAGGCUGUCGGCAGUCACCAGGGCAACAGCCUGGCCUUCUAAUGAGAUUAAAGGGAGCAGACUGGCCAGCUCCGCCCUGCUCAGGGGCACGGCGCAGACAGGAGUUGGGGACGGAGGAGCUGUGUGCGCUGAGCUCUCCCACAGGGACGGCCUGCAGGUCUGGCCUUCCUCUGUCCCCAACACUGUACCCCAGCGCACGGGCUUCCUCGGGCCCCACACCAGUCGGCUGCUGCAGGGCCUUCACUGGCACUGCCUCCCCCGGGAACAGGACACCACCCAGCCCCGGAGAGCUGCCUUCUCCAGCUGAGCCCCUGACCGAGCUCGGUGGGUCUGUCUCCGAUCACACUGUCGGCUCCCUGAGGCCCAGAGCAGAGCCGGACAGUGGUGGGGUGCAGCACGUGCGGGGGACAGUGAGAUGUGAGGAACCAUUCACAGUCGACUCCUGGAUUCCCAGGCAGGGUCCGCGCCCCUCCCCCACAGCCAAGAUACGAAAACUGAGGCUCGAGGACAAAGGGGGGCUGUCCAAGUAUAGAAGUGGCAGGUACUACUGUGAGGGAGGGGAGGGCGCGCUGUUUGUGCCAGCUCCAGCCGGUGACACUCGGUGUCCUGGGUCAUUCGCCACCAGGGCCCUGCAAGCCUGAGGUGGAGUCCCAGGAAGGCAGCCUGGGCAGAGGGGCUCUGAACACAGGGCUGCUCAAGGAACGGAGGGACAGGGCUCCACGGGGUCCUCCAAGCGUCCUGGGAGUCAUGGUGGCAGGAGACUUCCCCCUCCGCAGACAGGCGCGUCCUUCUGACAGUUCAUACUGGCCCAGUGGCCAGUCUGCAAUGGCUGACAUGACAGCGUCCCCAAGGAAAGCAUCUGGCCAACACUGGGCCCUGCUCCGUGUGGAGGGCACUGGCAGCAGGCCAGAAAGACCCCGGGGCUGGUGGACUUCAGCACGCACACGGGCAAGAAGCGGCGGGGCAGAAGGCCAACGUGGAGGUUCAGGCUGGGCUGAAAGCAUGAAGGCCUCGGGGACAUGGCAAAGAACAGGGAAGGACAAAUGUUAAGUGCAAAGGCCUUGGGGCUGGUGGCACCAGGUCUGAGGACCACAGUGGCAGCCAAGGUCAGAGAGCGGCUGAGAGGAUGAAGCUCUCAGUGACACCCUGCAUCAACAGCCAGACCAGGGACCUCAGCCCUACAGCUCCAGGGCCUGCUCAUGGUGUCCAGGCCCACAGCAAAUAAACCACCUGAAGCCCUAACACCGCCCCACCCCCCGCACUCCUGGGGAAGGCGCCAUCUGCUCCCUGCGGCCGAGUGGGCAUGGGCCUCGUCCCAGAUCACAGAACCACGCGCAGGCUCCAGCGCUCUGGGGGCUGGAUGGAGCAACUCUGCACACCCCAGGGGGCUGGCUCUGCACCCCCAGCCUCAGGGAGGGCUGGUUCCAGGGGGAGGGGGCUGGACACGAGCCCAAGCCCUCCACCCAGCCCUGGGCACUGGCCUUUGAUGAGCUCCCUGCAGCUUCUCCUGAGUGACAUCAACGGAGACUAGAACCCUGAACGUCUGAGCCUUUUCUGGGCUCCUCCAAGGGCAAAAGGAACUGCCCCAGAGCAAAACACCCCAAAUGCACGUUCCUCGGAUUUCUGACAGGCCCUGCUCCAGGCAGGGGUGAAGAUGUGGUGCCCUGGGGACUUCUGCAUUUCCCUUAGUGGACCCUUCACCUUGGUGCUGGGGACCCUGGGUCACUAGAGGGCAGCUGUGAAGAGGGCAGGCUGGAUGGAAGAAGGGGCACAGCCCUGGUGCAGAGCAGUCAGUGCGAGGCCCUGAGGGCGGACGCUGCCCACAAGGAGGAGACCCGGGCGGGACGGGCCCUACAGAGCCGCGGGCCAGGACUGAGCCCAGAACCACCCCAGCCGCGCAGGGCGCUUGCUUCCUUUUUAUUGUUUUGUUCAAAGUACUUUUUAGUUGUAGGAGGACACAAGAUCUUUAUUUUCUGUGGUGCUGAGAAUCCAACCCAGUGCCCCACACGUGCUAGGCGAGCGGCCACCACUGAGCCCCGGCCCCAGCCCCUUUUUAUUUUAGAUUACAAAAUGUGCGUUUUUUUAAAAAGGUGGAAAACCACGCGUCAGUACCCCGACUCAGUGGCCCCGAGUGUGCUGUGCAGUCAUCGCUUUGGCUCCAGAUGUUUCCAUCCCCUAAGAACAGCCCAGCCCCGCCAGCGGUCUCUCCCCGUCCCCUCCCCCAGCGCGGGCGGCCACUGAUCUGCCUUCUAUCUCCGCGGAUUCACCUUCCUGGACAUCGCACAUCAAGGAAUCCUGCCAUGUGUGGCAACUGUGUCUGGCUUCUUUCACGAGACGUAUCUUUGAGGUUUGCCUGCGCUGCGUCCAGGAUGGGGGCCUCACUCCUCCUACAGCCCAAGGUUCUCUUUUCAGAUGCCUGAGGAUGGAUGUUGAAGCACAACAGUUUUCACUGGGAUGGUGUCCAAUGUACCUUGCUGCUGUGCUUUUGUUACGUCUCAGUGUCCACUGCUGUCCAAGGUCAGGAAGAGCUGCCCCUGGGUUUCUUUCUAGCAGCUUCAGAGCUUAACUCACACACUCACGUCUGGAGACAUUUGGACACUCACGUGUGGGGCACGUUUGGAGAGAGUGUCUGUGGAGCUUUGCUGUUGCCUGGCCCCCUGGCCCCCUGGCCCCCAGGCCGACGGAGGGCCCGCGAGCUGGCUGUGCGGAGCAUCUCGGGAAACGCGGACGAGCGGAGAGGAAGGCCGGAGCGGGAGUGAAUGAGAGCCUGAGAGGCGCGUGGAUUCCAGGCUGAGUCACGGAGGCCCGGCCCUCGGGACGCUCGGGGGCUGCCUCCUCUCUCGCUCCCCAAGUGUAAAUACAGAACCAAAUACACAAACACCGGGGCCUGGAAUGCCUUUAAUCAGGCUCCGCAGCCGCUGCCAAAUUUCCAGACCCAACUGAAUCAGGGUCGCCGUGAGCACGUUCUGUUUCUCUGCUGGUGGCGGCUGUGGAACACGGAUGCUCUGGCGGGGAUGGAGGGACGUCCCUAGGGGCAGCGAGCAGCACAGCUGGUUCACAGGGGCUCCCUCCCCCGACAGGAGACCCCGGCCUGCCAGCUGGCCGAGCGCCCUCUUUGAAUGGGGCCUCCCGGCAGCCCUGCAAGGGCGGGAACACGACUGCACCCACGUUUUGCGAGCAGGGAAACUGAGGCACUGAGGAGCAGGGGACUGCCUGUCACAUGGUGCCAGGAGGGGCCUUGGUUACAACCCAGGCUCUCUCCAGGGUCUGUGAGCACAUCUCCUGUCACCAGGAGUGUCCCUGAGCUUGAGGGCUGUACUCCAUGGCCCUGGAGGCCACCCCAAACCUCCCACUGCAGCCCCCAGGCCUUCCUGCAUUCUGCCACUGGGCCCUUGCACUUACCACACCCUUGCCUGGAAGCUUCUAUGGUGGCCCCUGCUCACCAUUUGGGUUUCAAGCCAAAUACCACCUCUUCAGGAGGUGACCUCUCUGACCUCGUGGCUUGCUUCCAAAAUGACCCCCUGGAAGCUGGAAUUCUGAGACCAGGUGCCAACUGGUUCCACUCCUGGCGAGGGUGCUUUCCUGGCCAGCAGGGAUCUGCCCCCUGGGUUUUUCCAGGGCCCUGUCUGGGUACCUGGGGUGCAGAUGUAAUUUCUCUCUUCCUCUUCAAAACCAAUCCUAUAAACUAGGGCCUUGCUCUGGGGCCUCAUUAGCCUUAAUGACCUCGUAAAAGCCCCAUCUCCAAAUACGGUCACAUUAGGGGUUAGGGCUUCCUCAUAUGAAUUUGGAGGAGCACAAAAUUCAAACAAUAGCACCCUGUCAUGGGAACAUUGCCUGCCUAUGUCUGUCCAGGAGGCUGACAUGCCCUGACAGCCAGGGACCCGUGCUGCCCCCAGCAAGUGUCCACAGACAGUCAUAUCUAGAACUGGGGAGCCCUAAGUGGCCCUACACCCCAAGUCUUCAGGGAGCGGCCACAACCAGCCAAGCCCUGUCAAGACCCAUAGAUCCCAGACUCUCUGAAGGAGCUCACAGGACACAGGGGUGUGAGGGCACAGGGAGGGGUCACUGAGCUACACUCUGCUGUACCCAGCCCUGGAGAGAGUCUAGGAUGUAGGAGUGACCAGCUGAUGCCUGUCCUCCAGGGCUGCCGGACAGCGGACACUGACAGUGGGACUGUGGGUGAAUUUCUGGAUUCCAUCUCGUGAAUGUAAGGCAAGAGGCCUGCUCCCAGGGUCUCGGGUGGGAGCUGCCAGAGGAAGCACCAUCCGCUUGGAGGCGUUUCAGGCUGCAAGGCAGUCCGGGCGACCCGGACACCAGGAUCUAUUUGCUUCUGAUUGUGCUGGGGUCAGAGCAGGCUGGGCAAGCACUACCACUGAGCCACGCGCCCGCCCGCCUCUUUCCAUUUCUUUCUUUUUUUCUUUUUUUUUUUUUGAGACAGGGUCCUCCUGCCUCAGACUCUUGAGAGAGAUGCGAUGACAGGCAUGUGCCACCAAGCCCAGCUCAGCAUGGGACUGAAGGUGGGCAGCCCAGGAUAUAUCCUGCACAAAACAGAACCCGCCCCGGACCCCUCACCCCACUAAAUUCCUGCCCACGGAAGCCUUGCAAUGUGACCUUAUUUGAAAUUAAGUUUUUUGCAGAUGUAAUUAGUUAAGAAUCUGAAAAUGAGAUCACCCUGGAUUUAGGGAGGUCCCUAAAUCUAAUGACUGGCGUCCUCCUAAAAAGAGGGAGGACACAGACAAGAGACAAGAAGGCCAUGUGAGGACAGAGCCUGGACUCACGCGGCCACAAGCCAAGAACUGCCGAGGGCUGCCGGGAGCUCAGAGGCGGGCUGGGGCGGACUCCCUCGCGGCCUCCGAAGCAAGCAGCCCUGCCGCACCUCCAUCCUGGGCCUCUGGCCCCCAGAAUGACGAGGCUUCUAUUGGUUGAAGCCACUUAGUCCCUGGACGUUGCUGUGGCAGCUAUGAACCCGGCCCCGAGCCCCGUCCUGCCUCAUCUGUGAAACGGGCUCAGCCACAGCUGGGGCACAGCAGGAAAGGCAGCCAGCUCUCCAGGGUCAGGAGGCCACCUGGGCCGCAGGGUCUCUGAGCUGGUCCCCAGGAGUUUUGGCAAGUAAUAGAAGGGCUGUGACGAGGCAGGGAGGAGCCCAGGGCAGGGGUCUCAAGGGAGGAGGCCUGGGCCGAAGAGCAGGGUCCGCUGGGGCCCAGGAGAGGCAGGACACACAGAGCCAAGCUGGGUAGGGGCAGGGACUUAGACCCACUGGUGCGAAGGGCCAAAGAUGGGGACCCUCCAGAGUGAAGAAUAAGAUAGGCAGGGGAUCAGGCAGAGGCGACAGCAGGGGCAGAAGUGGAGGUGCAGCAGUUGGGGACAGUCCCAAGGAGUGAGGGCAGCAGGGACCAGUCCAGGUCAGCCAUCAGGGCUGUCAGUACAGAGGGGUGGGGAGGCAGGGCUGGAGCCCAGGACACAGGAGGGAGGGUGGCAGAUGUCAUUGACUUUACAGUGCACCUGUCCAGUGGGGAAGGGUCACAUGACCCCCUCAGAAGCCCUUCCAACUACAUCCCCAGACCCCAGGGCUGCACAGGGUGGACGGCGAGGAUCUGGGGUCUCCCGGGCUCUGAACCUGGCGGCCUCUUCCUCCACCUCAAGGCUGGGGGCCGGCGAGCAUGGCUUCCCACCUGCUGACCGCGCAGCAGGCCAAGAGGCCAUUCCUGCCCAGGAUGUGUCCCGGCAGGCCCAGGGGAGCCACAAGGGUCCUGGAACUGAGUGUCAUGGUCCACACGGAGCCAAGGCAAAGGGCAGGUGACCUUGCCGAAGGGGCUGAGGAGUUGCUGCCACCCAGGGGAGGCCAUGGCCAGCCUGGGAGUGUUGAGGUGGCUUUUUACCUCUUACACUCAAGGCCCUGGUCAUAUACGACAUCCUCAGCAUGGGGUCAGCUGAGAAGAGGAAGGAGGGCGGCCACCCCCACAGCGCAGGCCACCGCGCAGAGGCCCGCCCUCCCCAGUCUGUGGAGGAAGCAGGGAUCCCACGGCGCAGAUGAGCUGGGCUUCUGCGGGAACCACUGAGGGCCAGGCAGGAGCCGGCCAUCUGGUUUCACCUGUGACUUGGGGGAGCUGCCCGGGGCUCCAGCAGGGCCAGGCUGACACCUACGGGAGGCCGUGGGGCUGGGGACCAAAGAUGCUUCCAGAACCAACUCAGCUUCCAAAGCAGGGAGCAGGAGGAAGUUCCUGGUGGGCGUAUUUGUUGUCUGCUAUAACGACCGACCACAAACCAAGUGGCUGAAACAGCAGAAAUACCUUCCCUCACAGUUCUGGGGGCAUAAGUUCAAAGCCAAGGUGUGGGCAGGGGGCUUCCCCGGAGGCUGGGAGGCAGAAUCUGCCCUAGGCCUCUUUCCUGGCUUUGGUGGCUCCCGCAAUGCCCAGAGCUUGUAGGCACAUCACCCUAAUCUCUGCCUGCUCACAUGUCCCCUUCCCUUCCUGUCUCUCUUUUUAAUUGUACCUUCUUUAUAUGUACAUAUAUAUAAAAGUCGUAGAUGAACACAA